GGAUGAAGAACGUAGCGAAAUGCGAUACUUGGUGUGAAUUGCAGAAUCCCGUGAACCAUCGAGUCUUUGAACGCAGGUUGCGCCCGAAGCCACUAGGCCGAGGGCACGCCUGCCUGGGCGUCACACGCCGUUGCCCCCCCAUCUACUCCUUCGGGAUUGCGGGGGGGCGGAUGAUGGCCUCCCGUGCGCCUAGCCGCGCGGUUGGCAUAAAUACCAAGUCCUCGGCGACGCACGCCACGACAAUCGGUGGUUGCGAAACCUCGGUUGCCCGUCGUGUGCGUUCGUCGCGCAUCGAGGGCUCGAAAAAAUGCUCGGCUCCGGCUGGGCUUUCAACGCGACCCCAGGUCAGGCGGGGUUACCCGCUGAAUUUAAGCAUAUCAAUAAGCGGAGGA
rnacentral:misc_RNA from 1 species